UCUCCUGGAAACGGGUGGUAAUGCCGGAUGCUCCGCCCCCUCGCAUGGGGGGUCGGGAAGGCUUUUGCGGAAUGGGAUGGGGUCGCGUCCUAUCAGCUUGUUGGCGGGGCGACGGCCCACCAAGGCUUCGACGGGUAGCCGGCCUGAGAGGGCGACCGGCCACAUUGGGACUGAGAUACGGCCCAGACUCCUACGGGAGGCAGCAGUGGGGAAUAUUGCACAAUGGGGGGAACCCUGAUGCAGCGACGCCGCGUGCGGGAUGGAGGCCUUCGGGUCGUGAACCGCUUUUGAUUGGGAGCAAGCGUGAGUGAGUGUACCUUUCGAAUAAGCACCGGCUAACUACGUGCCAGCAGCCGCGGUAAUACGUAGGGUGCAAGCGUUGUCCGGAAUCAUUGGGCGUAAAGGGCUCGUAGCGGUUCGUCGCGUCCGGUGUGAAAGCCCAUCGCUUAACGGUGGUCUGCGCCGGUACGGCGGGCUUGAGUGCGGCAGGGAGGCUGGAAUUCCCGGUGUACGUGGAAUGUGUAAAUAUCGGAAGACACC
rnacentral:rRNA from 1 species